GGCCUGGUUGGGUGGUCUUGCCGCAAGGUAAGCACUGCUCCGAUCGGGUCUUUCCUUCUGGGGAACCAGUGUGCUCUUAACUGAGUGCGCUGGGGAGCCAGGACUUUUACUUUGAAAAAAUUAGAGUGUUCAAAGCAGGCUUCACGCUUGAAUACAUUAGCAUGGAAUAAUGAAAUAGGA
rnacentral:rRNA from 1 species